GAUACAGCUCAGUUGGUAGAGUGCUUGCCUUGCAUCAUGCAGAAGGCCCUGGGUUCAAUCCUCAGCA
rnacentral:tRNA from 1 species